AUGUGUUGUUCCUGCUCUAUUAGAGGCUGGCUGAUUUUCUUCACAAUCCUACAAGUGAUUGGUGGCAUGAGUUUCAUUGUCACCCCUUGGAAGUAUUACAGGAGCAGAGAAAAUGACCUAGAUGAACGCCUGUCUCCUGUCAGAUGGACUAUCUUCACAGCAGGUGUGGUCUCCUUUCUCCUUGGCAUCACGGGUCUGCAUGGAGCUCGUAAGAAGAACAAGAACUUCCUGAUCACGUAUUCAGUUGGAUCUUGUCUGCGAUGCUUUGGACUGGGGUUUCUGACCUACUACCUUCCACCACAGCUUCCAAAUAUGAUCAAAGCCUGGUAUGAAGGGUACAUCCCGUUGCACACAAAUGGAAGAGAUGUGGUACCAGGACUGAUGCAACUGCAAAUCAUUGGUGAAUGCUGUGGAUUGUUCCAUGGGUAUAAAGAUUGGGGUUCUCCUGUCCCCUCCUCGUGUACAUGCUAUCCUCUCCGACAAGGGUCCUGUGUUUUUACUGAGCAUGGCUUUGUUUACAAACAACCUUGUAUGGAUCUAAUUGUGAAGAUUUACAUGGACAUGAAUAUUGUGAGGAACACCUGUAUUUUCUACGUGGUCGUUACGGCCAUUGUAAUGCUUCUGGCGUUGGUAAUGACCCGUAGAAUCCAAGAAGCCUCCUCGACUGAGGUGACCAUGGAUCUUAGCUAUAGAAACGCACCCAACAUGGAAAUGGCAACUACUCCUCAAGCUCCUCCCAUGCUGCCUGCCAUACAAGCUCCUCCCAUGCUGCCUGCCACACAAGCUCAUCCCAUGCUGUCUUCAACACAAGCUCCUCUUCAUGCCAGCUCUUAUUACCAGCCACCUCCUCCGUACCAGUACGAUGGGAAACACUAG
rnacentral:lncRNA from 1 species